rnacentral:rRNA from 1 species
GCCUACGGGGGGCAGCAGUAGGGAAUCUUCCACAAUGGGCGAAAGCCUGAUGGAGCAACGCCGCGUGGGUGAAGAAGGUCUUCGGAUCGUAAAACCCUGUUGUUAGAGAAGAAAGUGCGUGAGAGUAACUGUUCACGUUUCGACGGUAUCUAACCAGAAAGCCACGGCUAACUACGUGCCAGCAGCCGCGGUAAUACGUAGGUGGCAAGCGUUAUCCGGAUUUAUUGGGCGCAAAGGGAACGCAGGCGGUCUUUUAAGUCUGAUGUGAAAGCCUUCGGCUUAACCGGAGUAGUGCAUUGGAAACU